AGGUCAAGUAGAAAAGGGCGCAUGGUGAAUGCCUUGGCACUAGAAGCCGAUGAAGGACGUGACGAACCACGAAAGGCUUCGGGGAGCAGUAAGUAAGCAAUGAUCCGGAGAUAUCCGAAUGGGGGAACCCAAUACCGCGAGGUAUUAUCAUUAACUGUUAAGGUUAAUGAAGGAAGACGCAGUGAACUGAAACAUCUAAGUAGCUGCAGGAAGAGAAAGAAAAAUCGAUUUCCCAAGUAGCGGCGAGCGAACAGGAAAGAGCCCAAACCAGCUGGCUUGCCAGUUGGGGUUGUAGGACUGCGAUAUAGUACUUGAAGUGAUAGCAGAAUUAUCUGGAAAGAUAAGCCAGAGAGGGUGAGAGCCCCGUACGCGAAAUUGCGGAGAGACUUAGCAGGAUCCUGAGUAGGUCGGGACACGAGAACUCCCGAUUGAAACCGCGAGGACCAUCUCGCAAGGCUAAAUACUAACUAGUGACCGAUAGUGAACCAGUACCGUGAGGGAAAGGUGAAAAGAACCCCGGAAGGGGAGUGAAAGAGAACCUGAAACCGUGUGCCUACAAGUAGUCAGAGCACAUUAAAGUGUAAUGGCGUGCCUUUUGUAGAAUGAACCGGCGAGUUACGUUAUGGUGCAAGGUUAAGUCAGAAAAGACGGAGCCGGAGCGAAAGCGAGUCUGAAUAGGGCGAAAGAGUAUCAUGACGUAGACCCGAAACCAAGUGACCUACCCAUGACCAGGUUGAAGGCGUGGUAAAACACGCUGGAGGACCGAACCCACGUGAGUUAAAAAUCGCGGGGAUGAGUUGUGGGUAGCGGUGAAAUUCCAAACGAACUUGGAGAUAGCUGGUUCUCUCCGAAAUAGCUUUAGGGCUAGCCUCGUGUGAAUGAUAAUGGAGGUAGAGCGCUGUUUGGACUAGGGGCCCGUCAGGGGUUACUGAAUCCAGAUAAACUCCGAAUGCCAGAUAUCAAUGCACGGGAGUCAGACUGCGAGUGAUAAGAUCCGUAGUCGAAAGGGAAACAGCCCAGAUCACCAGUUAAGGUCCCCAAAUCUAUGCUAAGUGGAAAAGGAUGUGGAGUUGCGUAGACAACUAGGAUGUUGGCUUAGAAGCAGCCACCAUUUAAAGAGUGCGUAAUAGCUCACUAGUCGAGUGACGCUGCGCCGAAAAUGUACCGGGGCUAAGCAUAGUACCGAAACUGUGGAUGCAUAUAUUAUAUGCGUGGUAGGAGAGCGUUCUAAGUGCGGCGAAGUUAGAUCGAGAGGACUAAUGGAGCGCUUAGAAGUGAGAAUGCCGGUAUGAGUAGCGAAAGAUAGGUGAGAAUCCUAUCCGCCGAAAGACUAAGGUUUCCUGGGGCAGGCUCGUCCGCCCAGGGUAAGUCGGGACCUAAGGUAAGGCCGAGAGGCGUAGCCGAUGGACAACAGGUAGAAAUUCCUGUACUGAAAUUGUUCGAUAUGAGCAAAGGAGGGACGCAGGAGGCUAAUGACGCAUGUUGCUGGAAAUACAUGUGCAAGCAGUAAGAAAAAAGAUGAGUCAAAUGCUUGUCUUUAGAUUUCAAGCUGUGAUGCGGAGCGAAAUAAAAGUAGCGAAGGUCAUGAUGUCACACUGCCAAGAAAAGCUUCUAGCCAGAACAAUUUUACCCGUACCGCAAACCGACACAGGUAGUCGAGUGGAGAACACUCAGGUGAGCGAGAGAACUCUCGUUAAGGAACUCGGCAAAAUGACCCCGUAACUUCGGGAGAAGGGGUGCUGAUAGUAAAAUAUCAGCCGCAGUGAAUAGGCCCAAACAACUGUUUAUCAAAAACACAGGUAUCUGCAAAAUCGUAAGAUGACGUAUAGGUGCUGACACCUGCCCGGUGCUGGAAGGUUAAGAGGA
rnacentral:rRNA from 1 species